CAGUGUGGAAGCUUUGUUCUUUCGCUCUUUGCAAUAAAUCUUGCUACUGCUCACUCUUUGCGUGCACACUGCUCUUAUGAGCUGUAACUCACCGCAAAGGUCUGCAGCUUCACUCCUGAAGCCAGCGAGCCCAGGAGCCCACCAGGAGGAACCAACAACUCUAGAUGCGCCGCCUUAAGAGCUGUAAUGCUCACCGCGAAGGUCUGCAGCUUCACUCCUGAGCCAGCGAGACCACGAACCCACCAGAAGGAAGAAACUCCGAACACAUCCGAACGUCAGAAGGAACAAACUCCAGACGCGCCACCUUAAGAGCUGUAAUACUCACCGCAAGGGUCCGCGGCUUCAUUCUUGAAGUCAGUGAGACCAAGAACCCACCAAUUCUGGACACAAUGUGACUAGUUCUUGCCAAUGCAGUGUGAGCAAAGCAGUGUGUCAUUUCUAGGCCAAGGCAGAGGGGGGUUUAAUCUGGACUGAAUUGGAGGAAAGGAACUGGCACCAGAGUGGAGGCUGGAAGGAUGGUGGAACUGACACUGGGACAGAACACAGAAAACAGAAUAUAAUGCUA
rnacentral:sRNA from 1 species